rnacentral:rRNA from 1 species
GACCGCAAGGAGCGACCUAGGGCAAAACCGGUAACUGGGGCUAAGUCGUAACAAGGUAGCCGUACCGGAAGGUGCGGCUGGAACACCUCCUUUCUGGAG